GGAAAUGAAAGAGACACAAGUUGCCAUUUCUCUUUCAAGUCCUUUAGAAAUGAACGUUUUUCUCCUUUAAGUGAAUUUCAGUUAACUUGGCAAUUCUCCUCCCUCUAAUUGAGGAAAGGCCCCCUCCUUUCCCCAUCACAGGGACGGGGCGGAGCAUCCUCUGAGAAGCUUGGAUUUGAGCUGUGCCUGGCCACUCUUGGGGGAGGGGCUGCAUUUCACGAGGCUGCAGCUGACAAGAAGCUUCAAGUUGAAAUUUUCCUGGACCUGAUCAAGUGCGUAGCCUGGUUGCUGUGUUGACUACAGCCCUGUCUGUGUCCUCCUUGCAACUCAUUCUUUCAGACAACAGCUUAGCUUGACCUGGGGAAUCUUCAGGAAUCUGUGACAUCAGUUGAGCUCCAGAAGGGCAGCGUGACCACAGAAGUGCUGAACAAGGAGAAGGCCCUGCUGCAGACAAGCAGCUAGAGUGAGAAUAAAAACAACAGGAUCACAGGGGCAACUCUGCACGAUCCAUGUGACAUUGGAGAAGGAUCAUCUGACUUCAUCACAGGGAGGGGGCGGAGCGUUCUCUGAGAAGGUUCGGAGUGAGCUGUACCUGGCCAGUCUUGGGGGAGGAGCAGCAUUUCACCAGGCUGCAGCUGACAAGAAGCUUCAAGACAGCCUGUCUCUUUUUGGAGUAAGAAUCAAGACAACCAGAUCACAGAGACAGACCCUUCCUGAUCCACGUGACAUUGGGUAAGGCUCUUUUCAUUUUGCAAAAUACUUCACAUUAAAAACAUGUUGAGAACUCAGG
rnacentral:lncRNA from 1 species